CAGCAGCCACGGUAAUACGAAGGGUGCAAGCGUUACUCGGAAUUACUGGGCGCAAAGCGUGCGUAGGUGGUGGUUUAAGUCCGUUGUGAAAGCCCUGGGCUCAACCUGGGAAUUGCAGUGGAUACUGGGUCACUAGAGUGUGGUAGAGGAUAGUGGAAUUUCCGGUGUAGCAGUGAAAUGCGUAGAGAUCGGAAGGAACACCUGUGGCGAAAGCGGCUCACUGGACCAUUUCUGACGCUGAUGCACGAAAGCUAGGGGAGCAAACAGGAUUAGAUACCCGGGUAGUCCCUGUCUCUUAUAC
rnacentral:rRNA from 1 species